rnacentral:pre_miRNA from 1 species
UUAACUCAAAUUUGUAUGGAGCUGGAACGUUUGCCUACGUUUGCCGCUAGGGGCGCUGUUCCAACUCCAUAUGUAAAUGUGAGCUA